GAAGUCGUCGAGAGCCAAACGUUUACCACUUUCUUAAGACACCUCUUGGAGCCGAGCAUGUAUUGGAAGGCAAAGAUGGCCGACGAGGAAGGAAAAAAAGUGGAAAGCGACGCGACAGGUGAUGGAUCGUGGCAUCGUCGUUAACGCGUUCGUGUCUUCGUCGUUCGUGUAUUUGUCUUCGAAGUUAAAUCCGUUACGCAGGAAGCUCGAUUAUUUCUCGACGUUCCGCGUGCAACAUAUACAUGCAUAUAGAUACCUAUACAUAUAACGAAUAACGAAUAACGAAAGGAAGAGGAGCGACGAAUCCGCGUAAGAGAGUCGUAGGCACGUAGGCAAUACAUCCGCCUACGGCGACUAUCCGCAACACAACGCCGGAAAGGUUCGCGUUGAAUCCCAGUGGCGUGACAGGCUGCCUACGCGCGGCUGUAUCUGCAUUGAUCAAAGCAGCAAUUACUGUCAUCGUAAUAUUACUCGGGACGUUACUCACGUCGUGGGGGCAGCGCUCGGGAGAGAAAGAGGGAAGACAACUGCGAUAGCAGCGCCACGACCGAACCGCGACGAAGCCGCGACGGAGCCGCGAAAAAGCCGCGGCAGCACCGCGACAAUGCCACGUUGGCACCGCACCGAUCGCAGCGCCAACUUCCAAGCUCCGACUUCCAGCAGCGUUUAAACGAUUGUACCUAAGGAUGGCAAUUUUGGAGAUUUUCCUUCUUCCCAUACAAAGGGAAAAAUGGAAAAAUUGUCUUUUGUUUGAACUGCGAAAACUAAGAAACACUGUUCCAAUUUGAAAACAACGAUAUGUCUACAUAUAAAGAAUGUAAAAAAAUAUUCGAGUUAAAUAAAUCACAAACACUUAUUAUUUUAGGACAAUA